AUUGAACGCUGGCGGCAGGCCUAACACAUGCAAGUCGAGCGGAUGAAGGGAGCUUGAUACUGGAUUAAGCGGCGGACGGGUGAGUAAUGCAUAGGAAUCUGCCUGGUAGUGGGGGAUAACGUCCGGAAACGGGCGCUAAUACCGCAUACGUCCUGAGGGAGAAAGUGGGGGAUCUUCGGACCUCACGCUAUUAGAUGAGCCUAGGUCGGAUUAGCUAGUUGGUGGGGUAAAGGCCUACCAAGGCGACGAUCCGUAACUGGUCUGAGAGGAUGAUCAGUCACACUGGAACUGAGACACGGUCCAGACUCCUACGGGAGGCAGCAGUGGGGAAUAUUGGACAAUGGGCGAAAGCCUGAUCCAGCCAUGCCGCGUGUGUGAAGAAGGUCUUCGGAUUGUAAAGCACUUUAAGUUGGGAGGAAGGGCAGUAAGUUAAUACCUUGCUGUUUUGACGUUACCAACAGAAUAAGCACCGGCUAACUUCGUG
rnacentral:rRNA from 1 species